UGAUGAUGAUGACGACGACGAUGAUGAUGAUGGUGGUGGUGAUGAUGAUGAUAGUGGUGAUGGUGAUGAUGAUGGUAUAAUAAUUUGGCGACGGUUUACAAUUAUUUGUCCUUUUUUUAUGUAUGUAUUUUUUUAUUAACAGUCUCCACUCUUCAAUGUUCACCUCAUAAUCACCCAACACCACCACCAUCAUCAUCAUCGUCGUCAUCAGAU
rnacentral:pre_miRNA from 1 species